UACGAAGGUCCCAAGCGUUAUCCGGAUUUAUUGGGUUUAAAGGGUGCGUAGGCGGCCCUGUAAGUCAGCGCUGAAAUAUCCCGGCUUAACCGGGAGGGUGGCAUUGAUACUGCAGGGCUUGAGUAAAGUUGAGGUUGGCGGAAUUGACGGUGUAGCGGUGAAAUGCUUAGAUAUCGUCAAGAACACCGAUAGUGAAGACAGCUAACUAAGCUUUAACUGACGCUGAGGCACGAAAGUGUGGGGAUCAAACAGG
rnacentral:rRNA from 1 species